AACGAGGCCGACCUGCGGCUGAGUUACCUGCGGAAGGAUCAUUACAGAGUUCAUGCCCUCACGGGUAGAUCUCCCACCCUUGAAUACUAUACCUUUGUUGCUUUGGCGGGCCGCUUUGGCUACUGGCUCUGGCUAGUAAGUGCCCGCCAAAGAACCCCAAAACUCUGAAUAUUAGUGUCGUCUGAGUACUAUAUAAUAGUUAAAACUUUCAGCAACGGAUCUCAGAUCGGAAGAGCACAC
rnacentral:misc_RNA from 1 species